rnacentral:rRNA from 1 species
UACGGGGGGGGCGAGCGUUGUUCGGAAUUACUGGGCGUAAAGGGUGCGUAGGCGGCUUUCUAAGUCGGAUGUGAAAACUCUGGGCUCAACCCAGAGCCUGCAUCUGAAACUGGAGAGCUAGGGUUUUGGAGGGGAAAGCGGAAUUCCAGGUGUAGCGGUGAAAUGCGUAGAUAUCUGGAGGAACACCGGUGGCGAAGGCGGCAUUCUGGACCGACAUUGACGCUGAGGAGCGAAAGCCAGGGGAGCAAACGGG